UACAGAGGUCUCGAGCGUUAGGCGGAAUCACUGGGCUUAAAGCGUGUGUAGGUGGAUGGGUAAGUACCUUGUGAAAUCCCACAGCUUAACUGUGGAACUGCUGGGUAUACUGCCCGUCUUGAGUCACUCAGGGGCGAGCGGAACAGAUGGUGGAGCGGUGAAAUGCGUAGAUAUCAUCUGGAACGCCAAUGGUGAAGACAGCUCGCUGGGGGGUGUACUGACACUGAGACACGAAAGCCAGGGGAGCGAACGGG
rnacentral:rRNA from 1 species